rnacentral:rRNA from 1 species
UACGGGAGGCAGCAGUGGGGAAUAUUGCACAAUGGGCGCAAGCCUGAUGCAGCCAUGCCGCGUGUAUGAAAAGGCCUUCGGGUUGUAAAGUACUUUCAGUCGUGAGGAAGGUGUUAAGGUUAAUAACCUUAGCAAUUGACGUUAGCGACAGAAGAAGCACCGGCUAACUCCGUGCCAGCAGCCGCGGUAAUACGGAGGGUGCGAGCGUUAAUCGGAAUUACUGGGCGUAAAGGGCACGCAGGCGGUUAAUUAAGUUGGAUGUGAAUCCCCGGGCUUAACCUGGGAAUGGCAUUCAAGACUGGUUAGCUAGAGUCUUGUAGAGGGGGUAGAAUUCCAUGUGUAGCGGUGAAAUGCGUAGAGAUGUGGAGGAAUACCGGUGGCGAAGGCGGCCCCUGGACAAAGACUGACGCUCAUGUGCGAAAGCGUGGGGAGCAAACAGGGAUUAGAUACC